UACGUAGGGGGCAAGCGUUGUCCGGAUUGACUGGGCGUAAAGAGCUCGUAGGCGGUUUGUUGCGUCGGCUGUGAAAUCCCGAGGCUCAACCUCGGGUCUGCAGUCGAUACGAGCAAACUAGAGUGUUGCAGGGGAGACUGGAAUUCCUGGUGUAGCGGUGAAAUGCGCAGAUAUCAGGAGGAACACCGGUGGCGAAGGCGGGUCUCUGGGCAACAACUGACGCUGAGGAGCGAAAGCGUGGGGAGCGAACAGG
rnacentral:rRNA from 1 species